CCUAGAAGAGGAAGAAAGAAGAAUGAGACCAUCUUGUUCCAAGGUGUGAAAAGGGGCGCUCAGACUCACUGUGCCCCGCCAAGACGAAUGGAGCUCACUCAGGCUCCCAUGGCCAUAGGCCCAUCCACCAGACCAAAACCUGCCACUGUGGCUAUGGGAGUGGGAGGGGCUAAGAUAGCGGCGGGAGAGCCUCGCUGCCUAGGUUAAUCAUCCCGUCCUCUAAGAGGGGCUCAAGGUCUCUAAGCUGACCCAGCUUCUCGUCUCCCAGCUUUUUUCCAAUGUCGCUACAGGAAACCCCACCUCAGCCAUUUUCCUCAGAGAGCCUGAAUCCCUUCCAGGCUCUACACAGUCACCUCGUGUUCCCUUCCUAGCAGGGUCUCCCAAAUCCUCCACCUGGCUUAAGAGUCACCUCUUUAGAGGCCUCCCUGAUGGUUAAAGUCCCACCUGGUUUACGUCAUCCUGAAGGUCAGACAUCAGCCAGCUACGUACAGCCCAUGAGCCAGACUGUGGCUGUUUUUGACAAUCCAUGAGCUAGUAUUACCUCUUAUUUUUGUAAAGGGCUAGAAAAAGAAAGGAGAAAAUAAAAAGAAAAGAAAGGACAGGAAGAAAAGCUAUAGUACUCCGGAGAUGUAGCUCAGUUGGGAGACCAUCCGCCUAGAACACAUGACGCUCCGGGUUUGAUUCCCAGCACCAUACGAACUAGGCAUGGUUUCCCACAAUGCCUGUGACCCCAGAAGCAAGGAGGCAGAGGUGGGAGAAGAAGAAGCUCAAGGUCAUCCUCAUUACAUAUUGAGUUCAAUGUCAACUGAGACAAAGAGAUACUGCCAAUGAACGAAUGAACGAACAAAAGAACGAGUAAGUCAUCAGCAGAGAGGGAGCACAUGGCCCGCACCGUACUCGCUCUCUGCCUCUCCUCAGAAAGUGCGCCUAGGUCUCAACACAGAUGGGGACCUGGAGUGAGAGUCUAGGUCACUCGAGGAUGUACGCCACCAAGGGAACAUCCAUGCACAGUCCUCAGGCUCCGCUCGACCUCAAGUCAAGAGCGUGACGGGAGGUUGUGGAGUUCAAGCUGGGGUUGAGGGCAGCAGCUGUUUUGAGCACACUCUGAAAUGACCCCAGCAUAGGCACUCAGCCUAGUGCCACACUGGGUCCAGGGUGAAGCCGUGAAGCGGGGGAAAAAAAAUCUAACACACCUGUAAUCCCAGCACUCGGGGAGGCAGAGGCAGGCAGAUCUCUGUGGGUCCAAGCCAGCCUGGUCUACAAAGUGAGUCCAGGACAGCCAAGGCCACACACAGCCCCCCCCCCCCCAAUCUAACAAAGCUGAUUCCUUAUGCUCUCCGGAGACAGCAUGCAGCAGGGCAGCAGCCGCCUUCAUAAGGUACACAGGCAGCAGGCCUGGCACUUGCACCCUGUAGAGUGUCAGGUCCACGGGCAUGGGGUGGGGUGGGCAUACUGCUGCUCUGGACCCUGGAAUAAGAAGAACAGAAGAACAGCACAGGAGCAGAAGGCCACAGCUGUGGUGGGCGGCUGGAAGGUCAGGCUGGAGCACUGGAAGAGACCUCUGGACAUUUCUAAGAUGGAGCUCCUGCAGCAGUGGACAGAGCAGAGCAGCAAAAAUACCCCAGGGACUCCACCCCUCCCUGAAGAACCACAGGCAGCUAACGGUGGCUAGGGGAAGGAGAGACAUUUUCUUCAGCAGUAGAGCCACUUGAUAGAGCGCUCAGGCUCCUAUCAUCAACCCCUCCCUUGUGCUCCUAAUGAAAGCCACUGUGUCACAAAAAAUAAAGAGACAUUAAAAUGGGAAGGGGAACACCCCGAUGACGCCACUGGUAAAAGACCUACUGGCAAAUGACUGAUGACAUGCAUGCUAGCCCCAGAGCCCAUGGAGGAGAGAACCAACUCCCACAAGUUGUCUUCUGAGCUUUACACAUACACACACAACAAAUAAUGUUUAAAGUAAUGAAAAUAGGAGAGGAAUAACUGGGCAGAAGAAGGGAACCAGCAGGAAUGAAAUGGGGACAUGAAAUGGUAUCAGAAGUGAAUAUGAUCAAAACACAUUACAGACAUAUGGGAAAUAUCAUGAUGAAUCUAUUUGAUAUUUAAUUAAUAUAAGCUAAUAAAAAACUUAAAAAGAAAUA